rnacentral:rRNA from 1 species
AUGAACGCUGGCGGCGUGCCUCAUACAUGCCAGUCGAGCGAACAGACGAGGAGCUUGCUCCUCUGACGUUAGCGGCGGACGGGUGAGUAACACGUGGAUAACCUACCUAUAAGACUGGGAUAACUUCGGGAAACCGGAGCUAAUACCGGAUAAUAUAUUGAACCGCAUGGUUCAAUAGUGAAAGACGGUUUUGCUGUCACUUAUAGAUGGAUCCGCGCCGCAUUAGCUAGUUGGUAAGGUAACGGCUUACCAAGGCAACGAUGCGUAGCCGACCUGAGAGGGUGAUCGGCCACACUGGAACUGAGACACGGUCCAGACUCCUACGGGAGGCAGCAGUAGGGAAUCUUCCGCAAUGGGCGAAAGCCUGACGGAGCAACGCCGCGUGAGUGAUGAAGGUCUUCGGAUCGUAAAACUCUGUUAUUAGGGAAGAACAAAUGUGUAAGUAACUAUGCACGGCUUGACGGUACCUAAUCAGAAAGCCACGGCUAACUACGUG